rnacentral:rRNA from 1 species
UCAUGUUAUCGAUAUGUGGAUACAUAGCAUAUCAGAAGGCACACCCGGAGAACUGAAACAUCUUAGUACCCGGAGGAAGAGAAAGAAAAUUCGAUUCCCUUAGUAGCGGCGAGCGAAACGGGAAGAGCCCAAACCAACAAGCUUGCUUGUUGGGGUUGUAGGACACUCUAUACGGAGUUACAAAGGACGACAUUAGACGAAUCAUCUGGAAAGAUGAAUCAAAGAAGGUAAUAAUCCUGUAGUCGAAAAUGUUGUCUCUCUUGAGUGGAUCCUGAGUACGACGGAGCACGUGAAAUUCCGUCGGAAUCUGGGAGGACCAUCUCCUAAGGCUAAAUACUCUCUAGUGACCGAUAGUGAACCAGUACCGUGAGGGAAAGGUGAAAAGCACCCCGGAAGGGGAGUGAAAUAGAACCUGAAACCGUGUGCUUACAAGUAGUCAGAGCCCGUUAAUGGGUGAUGGCGUGCCUUUUGUAGAAUGAACCGGCGAGUUACGAUUUGAUGCAAGGUUAAGCAGUAAAUGUGGAGCCGUAGCGAAAGCGAGUCUGAAUAGGGCGUUUAGUAUUUGGUCGUAGACCCGAAACCAGGUGAUCUACCCUUGGUCAGGUUGAAGUUCAGGUAACACUGAAUGGAGGACCGAACCGACUUACGUUGAAAAGUGAGCGGAUGAACUGAGGGUAGCGGAGAAAUUCCAAUCGAACCUGGAGAUAGCUGGUUCUCUCCGAAAUAGCUUUAGGGCUAGCCUCAAGUGAUGAUUAUUGGAGGUAGAGCACUGUUUGGACGAGGGGCCCCUCUCGGGUUACCGAAUUCAGACAAACUCCGAAUGCCAAUUAAUUUAACUUGGGAGUCAGAACAUGGGUGAUAAGGUCCGUGUUCGAAAGGGAAACAGCCCAGACCACCAGCUAAGGUCCCAAAAUAUAUGUUAAGUGGAAAAGGAUGUGGCGUUGCCCAGACAACUAGGAUGUUGGCUUAGAAGCAGCCAUCAUUUAAAGAGUGCGUAAUAGCUCACUAGUCGAGUGACACUGCGCCGAAAAUGUACCGGGGCUAAACAUAUUACCGAAGCUGUGGAUUGUCCUUUGGACAAUGGUAGGAGAGCGUUCUAAGGGCGUUGAAGCAUGAUCGUAAGGACAUGUGGAGCGCUUAGAAGUGAGAAUGCCGGUGUGAGUAGCGAAAGACGGGUGAGAAUCCCGUCCACCGAUUGACUAAGGUUUCCAGAGGAAGGCUCGUCCGCUCUGGGUUAGUCGGGUCCUAAGCUGAGGCCGACAGGCGUAGGCGAUGGAUAACAGGUUGAUAUUCCUGUACCACCUAUAAUCGUUUUAAUCGAUGGGGGGACGCAGUAGGAUAGGCGAAGCGUGCGAUUGGAUUGCACGUCUAAGCAGUAAGGCUGAGUAUUAGGCAAAUCCGGUACUCGUUAAGGCUGAGCUGUGAUGGGGAGAAGACAUUGUGUCUUCGAGUCGUUGAUUUCACACUGCCGAGAAAAGCCUCUAGAUAGAAAAUAGGUGCCCGUACCGCAAACCGACACAGGUAGUCAAGAUGAGAAUUCUAAGGUGAGCGAGCGAACUCUCGUUAAGGAACUCGGCAAAAUGACCCCGUAACUUCGGGAGAAGGGGUGCUCUUUAGGGUUAACGCCCAGAAGAGCCGCAGUGAAUAGGCCCAAGCGACUGUUUAUCAAAAACACAGGUCUCUGCUAAACCGUAAGGUGAUGUAUAGGGGCUGACGCCUGCCCGGUGCUGGAAGGUUAAGAGGAGUGGUUAGCUUCUGCGAAGCUACGAAUCGAAGCCCCAGUAAACGGCGGCCGUAACUAUAACGGUCCUAAGGUAGCGAAAUUCCUUGUCGGGUAAGUUCCGACCCGCACGAAAGGCGUAACGAUUUGGGCACUGUCUCAACGAGAGACUCGGUGAAAUCAUAGUACCUGUGAAGAUGCAGGUUACCCGCGACAGGACGGAAAGACCCCGUGGAGCUUUACUGUAGCCUGAUAUUGAAAUUCGGCACAGCUUGUACAGGAUAGGUAGGAGCCUUUGAAACGUGAGCGCUAGCUUACGUGGAGGCGCUGGUGGGAUACUACCCUAGCUGUGUUGGCUUUCUAACCCGCACCACUUAUCGUGGUGGGAGACAGUGUCAGGCGGGCAGUUUGACUGGGGCGGUCGCCUCCUAAAAGGUAACGGAGGCGCCCAAAGGUUCCCUCAGAAUGGUUGGAAAUCAUUCAUAGAGUGUAAAGGCAUAAGGGAGCUUGACUGCGAGACCUACAAGUCGAGCAGGGUCGAAAGACGG